rnacentral:rRNA from 1 species
GAUGAGUCCGCGUACGAUUAGCUAGUUGGUGAGGUAAUGGCUCACCAAGGCGACGAUCGUUAGCUGGUCUGAGAGGACGAUCAGCCACACUGGGACUGAGACACGGCCCAGACUCCUACGGGAGGCAGCAGUGGGGAAUAUUGGACAAUGGGGGCAACCCUGAUCCAGCCAUGCCGCGUGAGUGAUGAAGGCCUUCGGGUUGUAAAGCUCUUUUGGCGGGGACGAUGAUGACGGUACCCGCAGAAUAAGCCCCGGCUAACUUCGUGCCAGCAGCCGCGGUAAGACGAAGGGGGCUAGCGUUGUUCGGAAUUACUGGGCGUAAAGCGCGUGUAGGCGGUUGUUCAAGUCGGGUGUGAAAGCCUUGAGCUCAACUCAAGAAAUGCACUCGGUACUGGAUGACUAGAGGACCGGAGAGGAUAGUGGAAUUCCCAGUGUAGUGGUGAAAUACGUAGAGAUUGGGAAG